ensembl:lincRNA
CUAGCUUUAUGAACAAAAUAGCAAGAUAUGUCAGUUGAACAUGAGUUAAUAAAAUCAGGCUUUAAAAUUUACAACCUUAAUCAAUCAAAAACUGAAAUACACAAACAGCUUUAUUCUUUUCCAUGCAUAAAAAUUUCUCCUCGGACAAUAAAAACUCACUUGAUAGUGGCUUAGCGGUUUACAAACUAAUGCAAAACACAGAAUGGUAUUUAUUUGCUGAAAUGUUGACAGUUGCAGAUAUCCCAAGUAUUACAGGUCAAGCAUUACAAGGAAGGACGCUUUUUGGAAUUUAGUUCUCUUUCAUUCUAUUUUUCUUUUACGAUUUCAUUUACAGUAACUAACUUACAAGCAAUAAUACAUUGCUGAAAUACAGUCUCGGGCAGGGAAGGCAGCCCUGCGGACGCACCCCACACUCCCACUCCCAGCCGGUCUCCCAGAGGAAUCAUUGUGGGUUGGUCCCAAUCUAGGCAUGGGGCCCUUCUCUGCUCCUGGUCAAAGUCCAGCCUGCUGCUUCCAAACUUUAACGUGCCUGUGCUUAGGAAUCACCUGCAGCAUUGGAUUCUGGAUGACUGGGAUGGGUGGGGUGAGAAAUUGCAUUUUUACUGAGCUCCUUGAGGACUCCCAGCAUCCAGGACCCACCCCGCGAAGCCCGUCCUAUGGGGCGUGCUCCGCACAUGUGCGCAUGCGCGGGUGUGGCUCUUUCCAGUAGUCCGUUACCUAGGGCUCUUUCUCCCCCGUCUCUUAAGACGCGGGUUCCACAGAGCCCAGGACAGAGGGCAAGCCUCCCUGUCCAAGCCCAGGGGAGGACGCUGAAUCAGAGGCAGCCAGAGCAGAGGGCCAACAGAAAAACCCCUGGGCCCAGAAAGCUGCAAGGAGAAUGUGAUGAGUUGCCAAACUGCCGACAGCAGAAGCAAGUAUCAAAGCCAGGGACUACCGCCAGGAAUCCAAGGUCCAGUGAGAUGAAGAGCGAGAGCAAGUGGGCCGCCUGGAACGGGGGAGGGGCCGAGGCCUUUCCCUGGGGCAGGCAUGUGAGGCUUGCUUUAAUGUGCCUCCAGGAACGGGGGGCUAGGGUGGGUCAGUCAAGAUUAAAGGGGGCCAUGGGUGGGAUGGACAGAAUGGUAUUUCCCAAGGGCUCUUCGGGGCCUAGGGCUUGAGCUGGGGAGCAGCAUGUGCUCUUGGAAGUCACAAGGCUGACUUUGAUCUCAGCUUCUACUCGCCAACUAUGUCACCUGCAGCAAGGUACUUAAAAGGCCCCUCACCUUGCCGUUCGGAUGGUGCAGACCCUGGAUCAGCUUAAAAUCUGUGUAUCCUGGUGAUUGGUGGGGAUUUCGAGAGAGAAAUUGGAAAGAAGUCAGCAAAGUCGUUACUGAAGAGGAAAAGCAGAAGGCGCGAUUCAUGCCAAACUUCAGAAGCUCGGAGCGGGCCUCUGAAGAAGGGAGGCUGCAAAGAGCAAUGGGUCCCUUUGAUCCUGAGACACUUACACGGUCACAGGACACUCAGCAGACUUGGUCUGAACAUCUGAUUGCUACCUGAUUACUUCCCAAACAGGAUUGCUAGCAGGCCAGCUGGCAGAGACACUUUCCCCGUGUUGAUGCUUGUCUAAUUUUUGCCUCCUUUGUUCUCCACCGUCUCCUUCAUUCUACUUCAUCCCUCUAGAAAUAGAAGCCUUUUCUUGAAAAGGUGAGAAAGCGUUGAUCGCGGCACCAAAUAACACUUUCUCCUGGAGCCGGGGCUCGCGGGCACAUCCGCGGACAUCGGAGCUUGCCAAGGAUCUCCCCAGCAUCGGGCAAACUCUGGGGCAGAACUUCCCGCAUGUCCAUCUCCUGCUCUUCACCCGCAUCCCUGAGCCCUGGCUCGGAAGCCAGAAUGCAGGCUGAAGUGUAUCAGCUGCAACUCAGUAACCCCAUGACCUGAGUCAGUGGUUUCCCUGAGCCUCCCGUUUCUUCAUCUAUAAAAAGAAGUCUGCAGAAUCACAACGGAGCCGCAGACACCAGGCGCAGCAGCAUGUCUGAAAGUGCUCUGUAAACUGAAAAGUGCUAUGACCGUCGGGGUGGUAUUGUUGCUGUGGUGGCUGCUGCUCCAGCUGUCCAUGCUUCAACCCUAUGCCUCUGUGCUUGUUGCCAAAUCCAGUGAUGUAUCAGUUAGAAUUCAGUUUGGCUGCUAACUACAAAAACACACAGAAGUAAAAGUGACUUAAAGAAGGUAAUUGAUUUCUCUCUCAUCUGAAAUCUGUCCACAGUUGUUAUGCUGCUCCAUGGUAUCAAAGAUCCAAGAUCUUUUUAUCUUGUUGCUUUACCAUGGAUAACUUCCAUUCCUGAGGUCACCUCAUGGCCCAAAAUGGCUGUAGGAGAUCUGGCCAUCAUAUAACAAACUAGUCAACUGAAAAGAGCUCAGUAGAGCAUUCCUUCUCCCUUUUAGGACACUUCUGGAAGGUGUAGCUCUCUUUACCUCAUUGGCCAUCCUAGACAGAGAGCCACAUCUAGCUGCAAGGGAAACUAGGAGAUAGAGUAUUUAUUCUGAGUGACCAUGUGCCCAGCUAGGACUCAGGAAGAGGGGGAAGCUAGGGAGUCUCUACCAGAAAUGGGCGUUUCUCCAUCUUGAUCUUAAUCUACCUGUCAGUGGCAUGUCAGCACUCCCUAAACACUUUCUUUCCUUCACUACUGAGAAGGAAAAUACACCUUCCCAAUUUUCCUCCUCCUCUCUUCUACCCUUAAAUGUUGGAAUGACUCAGGGCCGUCCUGGGGACACCCCUUCUUUCCCUGUCCAUAUUCUCUUUCUAGGUGAUCUUAUCUAGUCUCAAGGACCUAAUUGCCAGUGCAGAUGCCAGGAAAUCCUAAAUCCAGCCCUGGCCUCUCCCCCUAAUUCCAGAAUCAUAUAUACACUUGCUACUUGCCAUCCCCACUCGUGUCUCAGCCUGACUCCUCCCCACCCACAGACUUGCUCCUUCCCAAGUUUCUCCCAUCGCGGUAAAUGGCACCAGUGACUUCGGUCAGGGAAUUCAGAGUUGAUCUUUUUUUUUUUUUUUUAAGAUUUUAUUUAUUUAUUUGACAGAGAAAGAUCACAAGUAGGCAGAGAGGCAGGCAGAGAGAGGAGGAAGCAGGCUCCCCGUUCAGCAGAGAGCCUGAUGCAAGGCUCGAUAUCAGGACCCUGAGAUCAU